rnacentral:rRNA from 1 species
CUACAAUGGCGUAAACAAAGGGAAGCGAGACGGUGACGUUGAGCAAAUCCCAGAAAUAACGUCCCAGUUCGGAUUGUAGUCUGCAACCCGACUACAUGAAGCUGGAAUCGCUAGUAAUCGCGAAUCAGAAUGUCGCGGUGAAUACGUUCCCGGGUCUUGUACACACCGCCCGUCACACCAUGGGAGUCGGAAAUGCCCGAAGUCAGUGACCCAACCGUAAGGAGGGAGCUGCCGAAGGUGGAGCCGGUAACUGGGGUGAAGUCGUAACAAGGUACC